GGCUUGGGUUGGAUGAUUUUCUUGGACUUCAUGACAGACUUUCCCUAGUUAAAUAAAUGUCAGUAUUCCAUCAUGGUCUCAGGAUAUGGAUAUCCAAGUUUACAACAUGAUCUUUAGAUGUGUUAUGCAUUGCUGUCUAUUAAUUCAAUGGAUUCAGUAGACAGGCUUUUUCUGACAGAAAGCACAGAGGAGCACCCUCCACACAAGAGCCUGUUCUCACUCACUCAUUGCUGUGGUGAGAGGGGCUUCCAUGGGCUGGCCUGACCAGGCUAGGAGAAUGCCUUGGAAACCUCUCAGGUGUCAAGGAGAUCCAGAUGGCAACAAUGAAGAGGCCCUGAGAGGAGGGUCAUCCGCCAGCACCACUCUCUCUGUCAGCCCUCUGAGCAACACCCCUCCAGAGCUGUGAACAGAAUCAGGCCUCUAUUCAUCAAGCUUAGAUAAAAUGAGAAUAUAUCAUUUUGAAGCACUCAAGAACUACCCUACAGCUUAUUUUUCUGUACGUUUUGUGAAUCAUUUUACAUCCAUAUGAGACAGUUUGCUAAACAAUAUCCAAGACUCCUGCUAAAGGAGAUGUGUGUUGGAAAAGGGUGAGGCAGUCAAUCCUGUCCGGUUUGUACUAAGCUGUAGUAAAACACUUGCUCUUUUAUGAGCAAGUAUUUUUUUAUGAUAUUUAUUGUAGAGUAACCUGUGGAACAAAUAUGCAUUCUAAAAUUAUCAACAAAAUAUUAAACAUACAAUUCGAGAUAGUUCCUGUAUUAGCAGAGCCAAGCAAGACCCAUCUGAUUCAAGGCUGGUGUGAAGUACUCCCACACUGACACAUGACAGUUGGUGACCAGUCAACAUGGUUGUGUGUCUGCACACAACCCAGCACAGGGCUGACACCAGCCCUGUCUGGGCCACACAGUCAUAAAUGUUACAAGCCUGCCCAGGGGCAGGGGGGUGGGGGGAAUAAAAGACCUGUCACUUUGUGUCUUUAUCUGCCCUGGAUCAGGAACCACUCUCCAAGGACCUGGGUCGACAGUGACCUCCUCCCACUGUAUGGCGGCUUUGUCCCAACGAUGAGAGAUAGCUGUAGAGAAACAUCUGAGAGCGCAGGAAAUGCAGCGUCUGUCAGUGACGUGCAACAAAUGUUCCAAGUGCUUUAGAGGAUGAGCAGCGUAUACAGCCCUUCACCCUCCAACCCCUUGCAGAAUUUAUGGAGUCCAGCAGAAAAACCUUGGUCUGAAAACCACCCAGCAUCAACAGCUUUCAUCUGGUUUUAGUUGGCAGAGGGGAGCCAAGAAUCUCCACAACGAAUUAUUGUAUAAAAUGUGCUUCAUACACCAGAAAUAGUCAGACUGCACCUGGUUUGACACAGAUGCACAUAGCGUAGAUCAAGAGACCUGCUUUUGUUUAAAUAUCUCAAAAACAGAAACAGACUGUAAAAGCAGUUGGAGCAGUCCUUUCAAAGCCAGCUAAAGGAGCAUUUCCAUUGGUUACUUCAAGGUCUGAUGCCUAUAAAGACAACAGCUCCUCCUUCCCGGACUGGUCACCACUGGUAAAGCUAUUCAAACAUUUCAAAGUUAUUCAAAAAUAUACUUAAGUGGAUUUCCAAUUUGACCUUAAGACUUCAUUUUCAAAUCUCUAUAGUGCUUCUACAAGACUCUUGAACAACUUUUUUGUACAGUAUUCUCCAUGGAAUGUCUCAGACAUGCAUGUGAGAUUAAAUUCAUACAGUACAGUAUACAAACAAGAGUCUUUAGUCUCUGUUUUCUCUCUGUCUCUGCUGCAGUAAAAUAGAUACACUUUCAAGAAACAAAUCAUGAAGAGAAUCUUGCAAUUAAAGCAUGUGCUGAUGUCAUCCUCUAUGGAAAACGAAGGCAUAAUUUUCCACAUCCCAUGGUUCAAUACUUCAUAUGUAUCCUAUUCCUUUAAUCUUGACUCGUCCCAUCAAUUGCAGCAGGUGACUAGAACAGGUGUAACUCAUUAGCUCUGCAUGUGGGCAUUGAGCUCCAUCAAAGCUGACUCAUCAUGAAGCCUCAUCUGUGCUGGUGAGCUGUGCUCCAGUGGGCCAUGCCAGGCAGGACAUAGUGCUUGGAUGAAAGACUACUUUCCUGGACCACAGUCUAAUGGCUGUCCCAUUAUCUGCUCCUCAUCUGUGUCUGUCUCAGUGGGCUUGUUCUGCCUGCCAGCCUUUUAGUCAUGAAUCAAGCAUGUAAUCACUUCAACCACUGUUCCUCUUCACUGGCAAACACAUUCCACAUUCUCAAAACUUUAUAUAUUCAAAAUAAUUUUGACAAUAACAAAGGGAAUAAUCACAAGCAAAAUAAGGUUUGUUUUUGAUUAAUAUUACUUUUUUAUAGAAUGUUAUUGUUUGAUAUUGUAUAUUCCAUCAGUGAAUCAAUGGAUUGCUUUCUGCCAGGAUGGCAUGAGACUAAAUAAAAAAAAGCUUUGCUGACAGUUUGGUGCUAGAGACCGAUGACAACUAGGCCUCUCGCAGAUACACAGGCUACAAAACAACCUUUAAACAUACUUCCCUUAACUGUCACUGUAUAACUUUUAACAUAGAUGAACGGCAAAUUACAAACAAUCUAUAAGACGCUAAAGAGCACAUAGUUUCAGGAUGCACAUUAUUUCCGAAAGAAUAUGGCAUCUCAUUAUUACACGUUCUAUGCCUCAGUAGCUUGACUAGAAACAGCCCUUGUCUCUCGAAUCCUAGGCCCCCCGGUGGAAUGCAAAACAGGUGCCGCACCAUUGGUUCCCCCGCAGUGGGGGUGAAAGAAAAACACCCGCCCCCGGUGGAACAUGACUGACAGCACAUCACAUUCUCCAGCCAGCUGUGUCCCUGGCUGAGCACGCUGACAAACCCAUGGAGCAUGUAGUUGUCCUCUCUAAAUACGUAAAAAUGUUGGGACUUGCAAAUACUGUAUGUUUAUGAACACAUUGCUCUAAGGGGUUUCCAUGUUUAUUAACCACUCUAAUCAAAAAUUGAGGCUUGACCUGAUUUCAUUGGAGGAAUUCCAAUCACAGAUGCUUUUUUUGUUGUUGCAUGAAUGAAAAUAUGCUGAUAAAAGGGAAUUAAAUCAUUUCUCCCUUGACAAUCCAUAUGUGUUUCAUUGGGUACUCUCACGUCUGGCAUUUAUUUAUAUAUUUGAAUUCUGGCUGCAGAUUCAAAGUGUUGAGUUUCUAUUUGAAACCACACCAAAGCCUGUAAGAUUGAAAUAAGUAUCCUGGCAUGAGCCACCAAGUGCACACUCAUGUUGCUAUAUCAUGUGACCUCAACUCUCCAAUUUCUGAUGUUCCUUUUUCCUGGCAGCCCUAAGAAGAAAAUAAGAAAAAGUCUCAAAUAAUAAAAAGGAAAGCAACAGUUUAUUUGUAUGCUUUAUAGAAUGUACAAAUAGAAAAGAUUAAAGAUGACAAAAAAAAAAUUACUACAGACUGAAUUAUGUUUUGAGACUUGAGUUUAAAAUCCAGAGUUUCAGGUUAAAAAACAUUGCCUCCUUUCCACUGGUCUGACCCUGACUAUAGUGUGUACCAGCCCACACCAAACCUUCUGCUGUGCAACAAUACUCAUAUUCACGGCCUGCAGACAGCAAAUUGCUUCUCUCAUUCCCCACCACGCCCUGCGUUCAUUCUCAGCCACCUGCAAAAUGAACCCUGCUGGAAAUUUCACUACAAAUUACUCUGUGUCUGCCAAAUCCCCCAGGGAGCUGAGGAAAUCAAAACCCUGGAACCCCAACCCCCACCAAAACAGGCCUUCCCUAUCACCACACACACAAAGCACAAUCAUUUUUUGUAUUUUGUUGUUUGCCGCAUAUGGACUUAAUCACAUUUUGUGACAUUAGGAGAGGCUGAUUUAAAGUAAAACAACAAGCUGUGGUGUUGUGUGCAUCUCAGCUGGAAGAAAAUAUUGUUUAGAAAUGUUGAUUUAAGUUUGGGAUCAUUCUAAAGAAUUUACUGUUUCAGUGUUACUCUAACUUGC